UCCCAUUUUAACACUCCCCUUUCAAGAAACAUACUUUACACAGACUUCAAAAAGGAAACGAGCCAAGCCUCAUCUAUCCAAGCCUCAUCUAUGUGAAGCGCAUCUGGACAAGAUAAAAAGCAUGUUUCUUUUCAUUUUCACACACA